GAUGAACGCUGGCGGCGUGCCUAAUACAUGCAAGUCGAGCGAAGAUAUUCGGAUCUUGCCCCUCGAACGACUUCGGCGCGAGCGUGAGUAUAACAUGGAUAACAUCCCCCUAAUACUGUGGUACCUCCGGGAGACAGGAUAUAUAACCCCGGAUAAUAUUGUAUCUCAUAUUUGAAUUGUUUAAGAGUUGUUUGCUGUCACAUUUAGAGAUAUCCGCGCCGCAUUAGCUCGUUGGUGAGGUAAAGGCGCACCAAGGCGACGAUGCGUAGCCGACCUGAGAGGGUGAUCGGCCACACUGGAACUGAGACACGGCCCAGACUCCUACGGGAGGCAGCAGUAGGGAAUCUUCCGCAAUGGGCGAAAGCCUGACGGAGCAACGCCGCGUGAGUGAAGAAGGAUUUCGGUUCGUAAAACUCUGUUGUUAGGGAAGAAUGAAUAUGUAGUUAAUAUAGAUGGAAGUGACGGUACCUAAUCAGAAAGCCACGGCUAACUACGUG
rnacentral:rRNA from 1 species